rnacentral:lncRNA from 1 species
CCAUCAUAAUGAGGCCACGCCAAGGAGGAUCCAUGCUUUGUGUUGCACCAAUAUAUCUACACUGAGAUAGCCAAACCCCAACUCCCACUAGCUAAAGCACCUCCUUUGGUGGCUGAUGUGCCACCUUCACAUCCCCAAGCACAACAUCCACCACCAACCCACAUCAAGGGUGGCCCCCGAACAAUUUAACCUACUUAUGCAAUAGGUACAAAAUCUAG